rnacentral:lncRNA from 1 species
AGCAUGUUGAUUCCUUUUGGCUAAUGCUCAUUUUUUAGCUGCAUUAUUCUUCAGUGCUUUUGUAGUAGUAAAAAAACUGUCGUAUCCCCUCCUUUGUUUUGGCCUGUUUGUGUCUUAUUUGCAUGCCUCACUCAUUAAUUUCUAGCAAAAUAUUUGUGCUUCCGCUUCGAUCUACUUGGGUGUACUUUUCUUGUGUGCAGGAACUGCUUUAUCCAGCAGGAAAUUAUCCACAUAAGCUACUCUCCGAGCCUCGCUAGUGCUAGAAGUUGUUGAGGGACUCGAGCAGCAUUUUGUGUGCUACACAGCUUUUGACCGGUCUGACCGGCCAGCCCUGGCUGCAGUGUUCGAGUGGGUUGCAAUUUGAAUAAAUUGUCAAUUCGCCUAUUCACCCCCUCCCCCUUCUAGGCGAC